GACGAACGCUGGCGGCGUGCUUAACACAUGCAAGUCGAACGGGCCUGUCUUCUUUUUUGGGGGUGGGUUGAGUGGCGAACGGGUGAGUAUCACGUGAGUAACCUGCCCUUCGGUCCUGGAUAACCGCUUGAAAGGGCGGCUAAUACGGGGUGGUCCGGUUGGUCCGCAUGGGCUGGUCGGGAUAGAUUCACUGUUUUUGGUGUUUCGGCGGGGGAUGGGCUCGCGGCCUAUCAGCUUGUUGGUGGGGUGAUGGCCUACCAAGGCGGUGACGGGUAGCCGGCCUGAGAGGGUGGGCAGCCACACUGGGACUGAGAUACGGCCCAGACUCCUGCGGGGGGCAGCAGUGGGGGGUAUUGCACAAUGGGCGGAAGCCUGAUGCAGCGACGUCGCGUGAGGGAUGGAGGCCUUCGGGUUGUGAACCUCUGUUUCCGGUGGUGAAGGCCCUGUCCGUGUGGUGGGGUUGACGGUAGCCGGGGAUGAAGCGCCGGCUAACUACGUG
rnacentral:rRNA from 1 species